rnacentral:lncRNA from 1 species
CAGAAGUCAGGUCGGAUCAAGCCAUAGUACGGAAAAAACUAUGCUACCUGUGAGCCCCGUCCAAGGACGUAAAAAGAAGUCAGGCCACUACAAGUGCCAUAGCUUGAGUAAACUAUGCAGCCUGUAGCUCCACCUGAGAAGGUGUAAAAAAUCUGGGAGGCCACAAACCAUGGAAGCUGUACGCAUGGCGUAGUGGACUAGCGGUUAGAGGAGACCCCUCCCUUACAAAUCGCAGCAACAAUGGGGGCCCAAGGUGAGAUGAAGCUGUAGUCUCACUGAAAGGACUAGAGGUUAGAGGAGACCCCCCCGAAAUAAAAAACAGCAUAUU